ensembl:snRNA U6 U6 spliceosomal RNA
AUGCCUCCUUGGGCAGCACCUAUACUAUAAUUGGAACUGUACAGAGGUUAGCAUGGCUCCUGUGCAAGGAUGAUAUGCAAAUCUGUACAGUAUUCCAUAUUUUU